CCCUCCCCUCAGGUAGAAUAGUCCUUGGGCAGCACUAAAUAAUUGGAAUUUGAGAACACACUUUGCUUAGGAUAACUGCUGGAGGUUGAAUGGUUCUGUCAACUGGAGCUGUUAAAGAAAAAAUUACUCCUUCCAGCACUUGUUAAAGAAAGGUUGGCCAAGAUCAAAUGAGACGAUAUUUGGAUUUCAAAAGUGUAAAGUGUUCUACGUAUAUUGCUCCGGGGGGAGAAAUGGAAAUUCUGAAGAACCACAUCUUCUGAAGUCCAGGCCAAGACGCUGUCAGGCUAAAACAAGUGUUUUUCCUCAGUUCCCUCUGGACAUCUUAGAGAAAUGUUGAACCUCUCCCUCUCUGUCUCUGCCUGGUGAUAAUGGGGCUGUUAACUUGUUCUUUUUAGUUGUAGUGAUUUCACUUGGUACAUAAAUGUCAAGUUCCACCUGA